UUGCACUUUGGUAGACUGAGUGGCGGACGGGUGAGUAACGCGUGGGUAACCUGCCUCAUACAGGGGGAUAACAGUUGGAAACGGCUGCUAAUACCGCAUAAGCGCACGGCAUCGCAUGAUGCAGUGUGAAAAACUCCGGUGGUGUGAGAUGGACCCGCGUCUGAUUAGCUAGUUGGCAGGGCAACGGCCUACCAAGGCGACGAUCAGUAGCCGACCUGAGAGGGUGACCGGCCACAUUGGGACUGAGACACGGCCCAAACUCC
rnacentral:rRNA from 1 species